rnacentral:lncRNA from 1 species
CUGGUGUGGGGGACAUUCCGGCGGGAGAGGCGAGGCGCUGCGUUUCCCUUCAGGAGACAGUUGGCUAGAAGAAGAAAAGAAGUGUUCGUUCAAAUUAAGGAGAGAAAACGGGAGCAGAGCAGCUUUCAGGCGUUCCAUCAAAUUCCCUUUUCUCCUUCCCUCUUGAGAAAGUCUCUGAAGGGAAUGGUUCAGCCUGACGGGGUGGAGCAGUGACGCCCGGGCUACGCGCCAGGGUUGCCUGGCAGCCAGGAGUUCGAGGACCGGCGGCGGGGCGGGGCCUGUCUCCGGGCACCCGGGACGCCCGUAGCCUGGCGGAGAGCGCCAGAGAGGGCCCCUGAAAAACCGGACCAGGGAAGAGGGUACCUCGGGGCGGAUGAGGGGACAGCUGCUAAGGGCCGAGGCUGCUGGGAAGCCUCAGUAGCGGCCGUGAAUACAGUGGAGCUCCGGCGCUGCUUAUUUCGGCCUAACUCUUGGUUUCCUCAUCUGAACAACCCCAGGCUCCCAUGUCUUCCUUAGAUAGCUAUGUGAUCCACCGGACUAAUGAGACAGAAGACAGUGUCCUUUGGAAGACAUUUGUAAAAGAACCCUCCCCCCACCAUUUAAAAAAAAGGAAAAGAAAAAAGGAGAGUUACAGGGGAGUCCUCCUCCUCCCUUCCUUUGCUGUCAUUAUUAGAAUGAUGCUGAACUUCAUGUGUAAGAAUAAACACAUGACAAUAGCCAGGAGAAGCAAGAGGAGGGGCAAGAAAUGAAGGGAUCAUUAAUGGGCAACAUAUUUUUCUAGGACUAUUUAUAAUUGCAACUGUAUUGUGCAAUGUCUGGAAUUAAUCUCAAAGCAAAUAUUG